GCGACCCCAGGUCANGCGGGAUUACCCCUGAGUUUAA
rnacentral:rRNA from 1 species